AGAGUUUGAUCCUGGCUCAGAGCGAACGCUGGCGGCAGGCCUAACACAUGCAAGUCGAGCGGCCGUAGCAAUACGGAAGCGGCAGACGGGAGAGUAACACGUGGGAACGUACCCUUCAGUUCGGAAUAGGCCAGGGAAACUUGGGUUAAUACCGGAUACGUCCGUAAGGAGAAAGAUUUAUCGCUGAAGGAUCGGCCCGCGUCCGAUUAGCUAGUUGGUGGGGUAACGGCUCACCAAGGCGACGAUCGGUAGCUGGUCUGAGAGGAUGACCAGCCUCACUGGGACUGAGACACGGCCCAGACUCCUACGGGAGGCAGCAGUGGGGAAUAUUGGACAAUGGGCGCAAGCCUGAUCCAGCCAUGCCGCGUGGGUGAUGAAGGCCCUAGGGUUGUAAAGCCCUUCGGCGGGGAAGA
rnacentral:rRNA from 1 species